GUGGAAAUUAAGUGAAUAAUGUACAUAGUAUACUUGGCACAAUACUGGACAUCUAGGAAAGGAUGAAUAAAGAGUUGCUGUUACCAUGAUCUUUAGUGAUUGACAACCAGUUAGCAUCAGAAAGAGAUGUAAAAGCACUUAUGGAAUAAAUGUUGUUAUAACUGUUGUUUUAAAUUGAGUUCCUUAUCUCUUCUAUGUACCUCAAACCUAAAGAGACAAAAGUCACAAAGGAAAUGUUUUCCCCAAAAGUAUUAUUAUUUAUCACCUCCUCCCUUCUUUCACCCCUAAAACAAUCCUUCAGUCCUUUAAGAAGUGUUUUUCAUCAGAACAUAACUUUGAAGUUGGACUUUUCAAGCUCUGUGGGAAGGUUCAGAUGCACAUUCACAAAGGGGAAAAACAGAUCCAGGAAGUCUGAACAGACCAGACAGAUGCCAUGGCUCACAAAACCUGCUUCCUCCUAAUUCCAACUGGGCUCUUCCUGGAAGGGGGUGGGGAGAAUCUAACACUGGAUUAGACUUUUCAACAUUAAAACAAAACAAAAUCAAAUAAUCAAUCUGAUCCUAAUUCAAAUUUGCUCCUUGUGAAAAGCAGUCAUUUAAAAAAAAAUUUCCGUAAUUGUUCAGGUUAUUUAUGAACAAUUCCCUAUCUUUCCUGCAUGACUUGGGUCUCAAGUUCUGUUUCAAAUAAGACUAACCUACAUUUAAGGAGGGCUAAGUAAUCGGGCAUUGUGCCAAGUGUUUCGUUUACACUUCUCAUUUAAUUCUCACAACAAUUACUAGUAGCAUUACUGGCACUCCCAUUUUACAGAUGGAAUAACUGAGGCCUAAUGGGUUAAAUAACUUGUUCAGGUUACUCAAUGGUUAGCAGCUGAGCUAUUAAAAUUAAACAGCAGUGAGCCUGGGCCCUGAGAUAACCUCUUUUCUACUCCUGUUUGGGUCAUUGCCCCAUAUGCCACAUCCUCUCUGGGGUCUCAGUUUCUAGGCUUUGAGAAGAUGCAACCACACUCCAAGUUGCUUUCUUGCCUGAUGUCCCAUGGCCUGCUGCUGCUGCCGCCGCCGCCGCCGCCGCCGCCGCGGGCGGGCUGCUUUGUUUCCAAGGUCAGCUGCUCUGGCUGGGCCUCCUUGGGCUCUGCCCUGUUUUGUUUUUGCUGCUGGACGUACUACAGACGCAGCCCUGGCAGCAGCGCAGCCCAGAGCACAGUGGAGGCUUCCUCUUUCCCUCCUUUCCUGGCUGCUUCAGUAUGAACAGAAAAAGGUGGGCAGGGGCCAACUGGCAGAAGUCACAGAAAUAGCAGCGCAUGAUUCUCAGAGGAGCAGCCGAAAGGCCGGCAGGCAGGUCCAAGCCUCCUGCCCAGUUCUCAUUGACGAAGGUUGCUUUUGGCAAACAGUCACCAGCGGUUUCCAUGCUCGUUUCCCUCGGGACAGGGCAGACCACUCCGAUGAUAGACUACACCGAGGUAAUGCUCCGUGGUCCCAUGCCAGCAGCUGACCGCCCAGGGACAGGAGAUGGAGACGUUCAACUGCAAAUGCCACGUAGAACCUCCACGCCUUCUGCAGCACCGAACCUACUCGGGAGACCUACCAGGGACUCCUCAGACCACCUCUGAGCACGUGGGAACAGGGUGCAGUUCACGCAAGGGAAUGUGUCAGUCAUCGCCGCACAUGCGCAGAAGGCCGGCUCUGGGAUUAGUGGGCUUCCUUCAGCCGCGUGCUGCUGCUCAUUAGUAACCGCUGGGAGGGAAUCCGUGCGGGGCUGGUUUGCAGCGAGCAGCGGACAGCGCCGGUGACUCAAGCUCUCCUAGCGCAGUUUUCUCCGUUUCCUCCCCCUCGCCUUCCCUCUUCCUCCUUCCCUCUCUCCCUUGCCCGCCCUCUCUCCCUUGCCCGCCCUCUCUCCCUUGCCCGCCCUCUCUCCCUCUGGGUCUGGGGCAAUGCUCCGGCCAGGGCAGUUCGACUCAUAACUGGAUCUCGCCACUACUUAGUAGCACACGUGAGGAUUUGGUGGAGUGGUGUUUUGUUUUGUUUUGUUUCGCUACUAUUAAGCAAGAUUGCCUCAUAAUCCUUUAAAUGUUUUUUAACCACGUCUUAUUUACAUAUCCCAGGCAGCAAGCACGUGAUUCACCCCAGGAUGUCAUGGAGGGAUCUGAAAAAUAUAUCUGAUGCUGUUUCAUUCAGGAGACACAAGCAACUGGGCCAUCAAAGGACAACUGUCUCUUGGGCCAACAGGACACAGAACUCUCCCUCUGGAGACCCUCAGAGAUGAGGAAGAGGAGGAGGAGGAAGAAGAAGAGCUGCUGAGGUAGGGG
rnacentral:lncRNA from 1 species